CAGAGCGACGCGCCCGGCCUCCCGGCGCGCCCGAGCCCCUCGUGGGCUGCGGCCUGUAGCGUUACUGAGGACCAGAGCGUUGGGCUGUCGGGGCCGUGUGGGUUGACUCGCGUGGGCGACCCCAGAAAGCCCCUGUGGGAAUCCCGGCGUCUCCGGCGUUUCGCCCCGCCUCCAUCAUCAAGACUGAAAGAAAACUUUCUGCCCAGAUCCUGGCAUAACUGUCUUCUUAGAGGCUUCACCCAGCAGCUGACUGAAACAGAUGCAGAGACCUACUGCCAAACAUUGAAUGGAGCUCGAGGAGUCUUGUGGAAGAGUCAAGGGAAGGAUUGAGGGACCCAAAGAGGACAAGGACUCCACAGGAAGACCAACAGAGUCAACUAACCUGUACCCUUGGAAGUUCCCAGAGACUGAAUCACCAACCAAAGACCUAGAACCCGCACAUAUGUAGUUGAUGUGCACCUUGAUCUUUGUGUGGGUCCUCCAACAACUGGAGCGGGGGCUGUCCCUGACUCUGUUACCUGUCCGUGGAUCCUGGUCCCCUAAUUGGCCUGGCUUGUCUGGAUGUGCCUACUCCUGCAGAGACUUUAUAUGCCAGGGUAGAGUGACACCCAGGAAGGGGACUCCUCCCUCUCAGAGGAGAAGAGGAGGGGCAGGGGAAGGAAUUGUGGGAGGGGGGACUCAGAGGAGGGGGGGAUAUUGAGAUAUAAAGUGAAUAAAUGAAUUAAUGAAAAA